CAGAAACAACCCACGCUCGACCUUCUGGCUGUGUGGUCACUAGACGUUCAUCUUUAUUCACCAACAUUUAAAGGUCCCCAAAUCCCUCUCAGGAGGUCCAUGGCAUCAUGAGAACCAGCCUGUCCUGCACGACCGCCCUGAACCAGGGCCCGCCGAUAUCUUCCAGCUACAUCUGCUGCAACUGCUCUUCUCCAGCUGAGACAGCCACGGCCUUACCCUGCCAGGCUUUGCAGGAACCAGCUUGGCAAGCAGCAGCCUCUAAGGACACCGGCAGAAAAUGGAGGCAGGAGAUAUAAAUCCAGCACAAGGAAAUAAAGCGACGAUGCCGUCACUUGUGCCGGCGUUCAGCUUGAUGG